ensembl:lncRNA
AUGAAGGUCUGGAGCAGAAGUGAUGGAGUUCAGAGCCAACCAAUGACCAUCAGAGAUAGAAACCUGAUCAUUAGUAACUUUACAGCCAGAGACACAGGUUCAUACAGAGUUCUGGACCCUUCAGGAGAAACCUUGAUCACAGUGACAGUCAGAGAAUCAAAGGAAAAACUGGCCCACACUGAUAAAGACCAAACUGAUGACACUAAAUAUCAUACUGUAGUCUCUUGGAUUGCACUGACUGUGUUUGUGCUUCUGCUGGCUCUGAUUCUGACUGCUGUCACGUUACACAAGCGUCUGCUCAGAGGUUACCUGCGUGGUGUCUCUCGAGGAGGACAAGAGACACUGAGCACAGGACACCCAGAAGCACUGAGGGCCCAUAAUGAUGUCUGCUGAGGGCCCCACAGACUCUGAUUAAACUGUAGAGGUGUGCAGGACAUUAGUGACCUCACUGCUGAAGACUGAACUUUUCCUUAAUCAGUCAUUUUAUGGUUAAUUAUGUUAUCAUAGACACUGCCCUACCCUGCUCUGAUGGUAUUCAUCUUAUUUGUGCAGGUCUUAAAAAGUCUUAAAUUUGAUCUUAAAACUCCCUCAUCAUACACUGCCUCAAAGAUCUGGACUGGUCACUUAUACCAAUCCUAAUUCAAUAACUAGAAAUUAUUGUUUCUAUUCUAAUCCAUUAACAGAAAAACAUAGUAAAGUAUUUAUAAUAUAAUAUAAAUAUAAUUACAAUAUUAUAAUAUAAACCGUAAACAUGCAUAUCUGUGCCAAGCUGUGAAAGACAAACAGUGUGCUUGUACAUAUGUAUAUUUUGUACGUUUAUAGUUUUAUGUUGCUUUUGUUUGCUUAAUUGGGG